rnacentral:rRNA from 1 species
UACAGAGGGUGCGAGCGUUGUUCGGAAUUACUGGGCGUAAAGCGCGCGCAGGCGGCCCUUUAAGUCGGACGUGAAAUCCCUCGGCUCAACCGGGGAACUGCGUCCGAAACUGGCGGGCUUGAAUUCGGGAGAGGGAUGUGGAAUUCCAGGUGUAGCGGUGAAAUGCGUAGAUAUCUGGAGGAACACCGGUGGCGAAGGCGGCAUCCUGGACCGACAUUGACGCUGAGGCGCGAAAGCCAGGGGAGC